UGGGGAAUAUUGGACAAUGGGCGAAAGCCUGAUCCAGCCAUGCCGCGUGUGUGAAGAAGGUCUUCGGAUUGUAAAGCACUUUAAGUUGGGAGGAAGGGCAUUAACCUAAUACGUUAGUGUUUUGACGUUACCGACAGAAUAAGCACCGGCUAACUCUGUGCCAGCAGCCGCGGUAAUACAGAGGGUGCAAGCGUUAAUCGGAAUUACUGGGCGUAAAGCGCGCGUAGGUGGUUUGUUAAGUUGGAUGUGAAAGCCCCGGGCUCAACCUGGGAACUGCAUCCAAAACUGGCAAGCUAGAGUACGGUAGAGGGUGGUGGAAUUUCCUGUGUAGCGGUGAAAUGCGUAGAUAUAGGAAGGAACACCAGUGGCGAAGGCUACCACCUGGACUGAUACUGACACUGAGGUGCGAAAGCGUGGGGAGCAAACA
rnacentral:rRNA from 1 species